UCUGUGUUCAUUAACAUCAGUAGAAUUAUUUGCCAGUCACCAAUCUUUUUUCACAAAUGACAAAUUCUGGAAAGGAAGAGUUAAACAUUUUGACAAUUGUGUCAAAACAAAAUAAAAGCUGAAUGGGAUCAUGUAAUCUUCAAAUAGAGAUCAUUUUACUUCUCCCUAUCGGAUUUCAGUGCCUUUGGUUUCUUUUUCUUGUCUGAUUGCCCUGGCAAGCACUUCCAGUACAAUGUUGAAUGGAAGUGGCAAAAGCAGGCAUCCUUGCUUUGUACCAGAUCUUAGUGGAAAUGUUUUCUGUUU
rnacentral:lncRNA from 1 species